AAUAUCAACAUGUCUGUGUUUGUAGCCAGCAUUGUCAUCCAGAGGAUUUCGAAACCGAACUGAAGUCUCAACUGAUAGGGUUGCCAUGUUGUCAACUGUUAAAAAGUGAUGCUAUUCAAUCUAUUUUUACCCUUCACUUCAAAGAGGAAGGCAUCCAAUCAGCCAACAUCAGAGCAACAGAAAAUAAGUCAAGCUGAGAGUUAGAUCCCAUCAACAUCAAGCUCAGCACCAGGAACUAGUACAGAUGAAGGGAGAUGAGGCUCAUCCAGAGGCUGGGGACCAGUUGUGUAAACAGGACAGAAAAAUGGACCAAUUCAUGCCGUUAUCAAGAGGACUUCCCUUGUCAUCCCUACUGCCUCUAAUCUGGCGAACUCACUAAACACAGAUGCUUCGUUGGUAAAUGAUG